rnacentral:rRNA from 1 species
UACGGGGGGGGCAAGCGUUGUUCGGAAUUACUGGGCGUAAAGGGCUCGUAGGCGGCCAACUAAGUCGGACGUGAAAUCCCUCGGCUUAACCGGGGAACUGCGUCCGAUACUGGAUGGCUUGAAUUCGGGAGAGGGAUGCGGAAUUCCUGGUGUAGAGGUGAAAUUCGUAGAUAUCAGGAGGAACACCAGUGGCGAAGGCGGCUUCUGGACGAUAACUGACGCUGAGACGCGAAAGCGUGGGGAGCAAACAGG